GUCAGGUGGGGAACGAAGCAACAGAAACCUUGUUUUGCUUAUGCAUUUG
rnacentral:SRP_RNA from 1 species